UAGGGAAUCUUCGGCAAUGGGGGCAACCCUGACCGAGCAACGCCGCGUGAGUGAAGAAGGUUUUCGGAUCGUAAAGCUCUGUUGUAAGAGAAGAACGUGUGUGAGAGUGGAAAGUUCACACAGUGACGGUAACUUACCAGAAAGGGACGGCUAACUACGUGCCAGCAGCCGCGGUAAUACGUAGGUCCCGAGCGUUGUCCGGAUUUAUUGGACGUAAAGCGAGCGCAGGCGGUUUAAUAAGUCUGAAGUUAAAGGCAGUGGCUUAACCAUUGUUCGCUUUGGAAACUGUUAAACUUGAGUGCAGAAGGGGAGAGUGGAAUUCCAUGUGUAGCGGUGAAAUGCGUAGAUAUAUGGAGGAACACCGGUGGCGAGAGCGGCUCUCUGGUCUGUAACUGACGCUGAGGCUCGAAAGCGUGGGGGGCAAACAGG
rnacentral:rRNA from 1 species